ensembl:lncRNA
AUUUUGUAACAAAAUAUAGUUAUCUUGAAUGCUGGUUCUUGGAUUCGUAUGUGCCAUGAAGACCAUUUACAGUGGAGAGUAUUCUUUUUUUUUUUUUUUUUUACAGAACUGAUUUAAUACUUGAAGAAAAGUGCUAGCUGUCAAGUGGCAAAGACGGCUACAGUUGCAAGCAAUGCUUUUAUUAAAGUUGCCAAAUGACAAACAAAUCCGAGGAACACUUCUCUUGAACUUGGACAAGGACAAACGGGUCAUGGGGGAACCUGGAACGUAUCCCAGGAGGCAUCGGGCACAAGAUUGCUCUGUGUAUGUGUUUCCUUGUUAUUUGUUCAACCUCCUACAAACACCCACAACCACGGUCACAAGGAGACUGGAGCCUAUCCCAGGAAACUUGGGGCACAGGGCAAGGGACACCCUGGGGUGCCAAUCCAUCGUACGGCGUAAUCACAAACACAUUUACAUAGUACAGACAAUUUGGAAAUACCAAUCAGCCUGCAAUGCUUGUCUUUGGACUGGGGAGGAAACCGGAAGUACCCAGAGGAAACCCCUGAAGCAAGGGGAGAACAGGCAAACUCCAGAAUCAAAAAAUGGAGGUACAAGGCAACCAUGCUAACCACUAAGCCACCGUGACCCCUGUAUCAUGAAAUGGGAGAUGAGUUGGAUGCAAGUACAGAUUUAUUUUUAAUAAAG